rnacentral:rRNA from 1 species
UACGUAGGGUGCGAGCGUUGUCCGGAAUUAUUGGGCGUAAAGAGCGCGUAGGCGGUGUGUCACGUCGGCCGUGAAAACCUGCAGCUUAACUGUGGGCGUGCGGUCGAUACGGGCAUCACUGGAGUUCGGCAGGGGAGACUGGAAUUCCUGGUGUAGCGGUGAAAUGCGCAGAUAUCAGGAAGAACACCGGUGGCGAAAGCAGUCUGCUGGGCCGACACUGACACUGAGAGACGAAAGCUAGGGGAGCGAAUGGG